UACGGAGGGGGCUAGCGUUGUUCGGAAUACUGGGCGUAAAGCGCACGCAGGCGGAUUGAUAAGUCGGGGGGUGAAAUCCCGGGGCUCAACCUCGGAAUUGCCUUCGAUACUGUUUAGUCUUGAGUCCGGGAGAGGUGAGUGGAAUUCCUAGUGUAGAGGUGAAAUUCGUAGAUAUUAGGAAGAACACCAGUGGCGAAGGCGCUCACUGGCCCGGUAUGACGCUCAUGUGCGAAAACGUGGGGGAGCAAACAGGAUUUAGAUACCCUUGU
rnacentral:rRNA from 1 species